UAGUCCACGCUGUAAACGAUGUCUACUAGCCGUUGGGAUACUUGAUAUCUUAGUGGCGCAGCUAACGCACUAAGUAGACCGCCUGGGGAGUACGGCCGCAAGGUUAAAACUCAAAUGAAUUGACGGGGGCCCGCACAAGCGGUGGAGCAUGUGGUUUAAUUCGAUGCAACGCGAAGAACCUUACCAGGUCUUGACAUCCUGAAAACUUUCUAGAGAUAGAUUGGUGCCUUCGGGAAUUCAGUGACAGGUGCUGCAUGGCUGUCGUCAGCUCGUGUCGUGAGAUGUUGGGUUAAGUCCCGUAACGAGCGCAACCCUUGUCCUUAGUUGCUAGCAGGUAAUGCUGAGAACUCUAAGGAGACUGCCGGUGACAAACUGGAGGAAGGUAAGGAUGACGUCAAGUCAGCAUGCCCCUUAUGCUCUGGGCUACACACGUGCUACAAUGGCCGUGACAAAGAGUUGCUACUUUGUGAAAACAAGCUAAUCUCAUAAACGCGG
rnacentral:rRNA from 1 species